GGUCCCGUCGUCUAGUGGUCCAGGAUAUCUGGUUCUCAUCCAGAAGACCGCGGGUUCGAAUCCCGCCGGGAUCACCA
rnacentral:tRNA from 1 species